ACUGAACAUUGAGCCUUGAUGUGUAGGAUAGGUGGGAGGCUUUGAAGUGUGGACGCCAGUCUGCAUGGAGCCGACCUUGAAAUACCACCCUUUAAUGUUUGAUGUUCUAACGUGGACCCGUGAUCCGGGUUGCGGACAGUGUCUGGUGGGUAGUUUGACUGGGGCGGUCUCCUCCUAAAGAGUAACGGAGGAGCACGAAGGUUGGCUAAUCCUGGUCGGACAUCAGGAGGUUAGUGCAAUGGCAUAAGCCAGCUUGACUGCGAGCGUGACGGCGCGAGCAGGUGCGAAAGCAGGUCAUAGUGAUCCGGUGGUUCUGAAUGGAAGGGCCAUCGCUCAACGGAUAAAAGGUACUCCGGGGAUAACAGGCUGAUACCGCCCAAGAGUUCAUAUCGACGGCGGUGUUUGGCACCUCGAUGUCGGCUCAUCACAUCCUGGGGCUGAAGUAGGUCCCAAGGGUAUGGCUGUUCGCCAUUUAAAGUGGUACGCGAGCUGGGUUUAGAACGUCGUGAGACAGUUCGGUCCCUAUCUGCCGUGGGCGCUGGAGAACUGAGGGGGGCUGCUCCUAGUACGAGAGGACCGGAGUGGACGCAUCACUGGUGUUCGGGUUGUCAUGCCAAUGGCACUGCCCGGUAGCUAAAUGCGGAAGAGAUAAGUGCUGAAAGCAUCUAAGCACGAAACUUGCCCCGAGAUGAGUUCUCCCUGAGACUUAGAGUCUCCUGAAGGAACGUUGAAGACGACGACGUUGAUAGGCCGGGUGUGUAAGCGCAGCGAUGCGUUGAGCUAACCGGUACUAAUGAACCGUGAGGCUUAACCUUACAACGCCGAAG
rnacentral:rRNA from 1 species